rnacentral:lncRNA from 1 species
AUGUUGGUUCAUGUGUUUAACUCAGGCACAGUUCCAGUGUGGUUGUUUCUUCAACAGGUGCACUGUUCCUUCCAAUGGGGCCUGUCGUGGGCCUGCAGGUGCCUCGGCCUCACCUCCGACCUACUGCAGCAGAGCAAAGAAAUGUUUGUCUCAAAGAGGGUCCUGGUGAUCCUGUGUACACUAAAAUUUGGGACCUCCUGCUCUGAGGACUCCAGGGCCUCCAUUCUGCUAGGACCAGGUCCCAUUGCAGAUCCGAUUUCUGGGUGGAUUGAUUGCAUUUCUUCCCCUGGUCACUUCACACGUGACUCGGGAGAAAUUAACAUCAUCCCUGUCACAGCGGAAGAGAUGAAUGCAUUGACAGUGAGUACAUUGCGGCGAAUUGAGUGAAAACUUUGUCUGAUUAAACUUGUAUCUGUAAUAUCAGAACACGAAGACACACUCAUAACCUGUCUCUUUUUCUCAGUCUUCC